UACGGAGGGUGCAAGCGUUGUCCGGAAUCACUGGGCGUAAAGGGCGCGUAGGCGGCUCAUGAAGUCUGUGGUGAAAGUCCGGGGCUCAACCUCGGAUCGGCCGUGGCGACUCGUGGGCUGGAGCACUGUAGAGGCGGGUGGAAUUCCGAGUGUAGCGGUGGAAUGCGUAGAGAUCCGGAAGAACACCAGUGGCGAAGGCGGCCCGCUGGGCAGUGGCUGACGCUGAGGCGCGACAGCGUGGGGAGCAAACAGG
rnacentral:rRNA from 1 species